GAUGAGCGGACAUUUUAAGUCCGGCACGCCGCCGCUUCCUUUUUCUUUUAUCCAAAAUAUAUGAUACUACCUUUGCCAAGACCAAUACUUUUUAUUAUAAGCUGACGAAGAAAUGCAGCACGAUGACCUGAAAAGAUUACUCGUUCAACACAGUUCAACAGGUUGUAAGCAAGUUGCGUAAUAAGUUUUUUAUUACUACUAUACUAGCAGGCUAAGGCUGAUUGUUACUCGGUCACCAGUAAAAGUGUUCCUCACCGUCAUUUGGCUUGAUGAUUCCUGGUGUUGAGCCUUGUACGUUCUAAGAGAAGCAGUCAGCUUCUAUCUUCGUGUCCUCUGACAAGUCUGGCAGUUUGCCUUUACCUGCCCAAACUGGUCUAUCCAGUUUAGGAAUGAUCGUUGGCUUCUAUUGUUUCCUCGUCUUUCUUUCAGCUCAAAUGAGGCUGGAAUUUGAUACGGGUUAUUUUUGCUUUCCGCCGAAACUACCCCUAGCGUUGUUUUCUGCGAUGACCUAACGUUCUGUACCCCACCCCCUUCCCCCCAGAUAUUACCGAUCACAUAAUACUAACAAAUGUCCAAAAAGUCUGAACAACAGCGUCGCCGAGCAACAAGUUGUGACCGCAGCUCACCGUCUUGACAGAACACAAAGAAGGUAUCACGUUGGCGAAUUUACCCAGCCUUUCCCAGGUGUGGUCACCGAGCUGGAAACCCAAUACAAGAGGCAUCAUUGUGUUGGGGCUUUAGUCCUCGUCUUUCCUGCUCGUGCUGAAGGACACUGGCGAGGCGCUUCGGAGGGAGGAAGAUGCCAAUCCCUUUCCGGUAGACUUGAGAAGAAGAGGCAGACCCCGGAAGGAAAAAGCCUAUCAGGUGUAAUUUUCAGUUGCAGCCAAUCUCUUUGGCCCCUGGCGCUUACAGGUGUGUCCCUUGCAAUGUCUUCAGCCAAUCGCGGCUCAGACGAGACCCCUCCUCCCCCACUGGUCCCCUCCAACCGGUUUUCUAAGCUACCACCCCUCAGCACCCACCCCGUCCUCUGCCCUGUCAGUCCCUAGGUACCUUGUUGUGUUUUUUUUUAUGAUGUCAGCUCAAGCUUCUGUGGGAAGGACUUUCUCUGUUUUAAAACAUCUCAACUGACAUCCUAAGAACCGCAUUCUCUAUGAGGUUUUAUCACACACAUAAAGUUGAGCUGUAUAAGUCCGCCGCAACCUGAAAUACCUGCCCUUUGCACUCAUGCUAUGCCUCCCUUUGUGUCCACAUAAAUACAAUAUCCCCGCUAGAAACAACCGAUGAAUAAAGUGCCGGUGAGUAAAACUUCACAAAGAGACAUCCAGAGGUGAGGGAGCGCCAACAAAAGGUGGGGUAGGGGCUCUUGGGGCCCCCAGGGGAAAACAGAGGCCUAAUUCAAAACCUGACCAGGGCUUGGUUAGAUGCUGGGCAGCCACUUUCGGUCUUGGGGUGUAAUUGUCAGGACUAUUCUCUCAACAAUGAGGACAAUACCAGAACCAUAUCCUGUUUCAGCAAGGGGUGUGGUCCAGGUUGAAGCAGAACUAUGAAGGUGGAAGCAGGUGAUGGCGUAUGCCGUUAAACAAACAGCUCUAGCACGCACUGACGCAAAUCUACAGGAGAUAUUCAUUAAUCAUUUGGAAAACGCGUGGACUGAUUCAUGCUGGCCAGUAACUUUUUGUGAGCUAUGUUGCUCCUCAAACAAAUGUGACAAUGAAGAGGCCUUUGUGUUUGGUUUAACAGUGUCAACAAAAGGCUCAUUUCAUGAACGCCAAAUCAACUCCAGGAAAUGUAGUUUAGCAACGUUUCCACAGAAUUAUAAGUAACUAAUUAGCCUUUUUUUCCUUCCAAGUUACUCUCUUUAAAAGAGUGGUUUAGUAAAUUACUUUGCUCUAAAAGGUUUGCUUUGUUAGGUUUUUCAUUUGCAUUGCAAAUAGGGUCUCUGGGUGGGGGUGACACACGGGAGACUGGCCUCAACUGAUUUGGAUACUGAUGGCUAUCUGGGCAGCCAGUCACGCAAGGCAGGAUGCAAGGACUGUCAGUCAGGCGGCAGGUCAGAAGAAACAAACUCUAAUGCAACCCAAUUAGAAAGAUGUUGUCCCUCUGCUUAAAUUAUUUUGUGUGAGGUCUUUACAAAGUCCUUUGUGACCUUUUUUCAAGACAUGCAGAUUUCAAAUGGACUUUUAUCAUUUGAUAGGUUCCAUUUCUGCAGGUCUGUAAACCUGGUGAAGCAAAUAACUUCCUGAUAAUGAAAAAAUCCACCUACCUCAUACAUUAAUUUUUAGAUACUCAUUUGUGAGCGCAAAACAAUUCGUAUAAUCAGUAAUGAUAGUGCAUUGGACUCACUGACCAAAUCGGAUUAUCAAUAUUUUCUUGCCAUUUCAGUCCAACUAUUCUCUAUUACUAUUAUUCUAAAAGGCCUAUUUCACGCAGGACACUGCCUUUGAUCCAAAAACUGGACAAAAAGAUCCUAAAACUUGAUUAUGAGGUAACACAUGUACAUGUAUGCUUCUAAGUUUGUUACAGCGGUACUGUACCUUGGUGUUUAUAUGCCCUACUUCAGUGGUUCUCAACCUUUUUUCAGUGAUGUUCCCCCUGUGGACAUGUUUUUAAUUCAAGUACCCCCUAAUCAGAGCAAAGCAUUUUUGGUUGAAAAAAAGAGAUAAAAAACUAAAAUACAGCACUAUGUCAUCAGUUUCUGAUUUAUUAAAUUGUAUAACAGUGCAAAAUAUUGCUCAUUUGUAGUGGUCUUUCUUGAACUAUUUGGAAAAAAAAGAUAUAAAAAUAACUAAAAACUUGUUGUAAAAUAAACAAGUGAUUCAAUCAUAAAUAAAUAUUUCUGCACAUAGAAGUAAUCAACUUAAAGUGCCCUCUUAGGGGAUUGUAAUAGAGAUCCAUCUGGAUUCAUGAACUUAAUUCUAAACAUUUCUUCACAAAAAAAUAAAUCUUUAACAUUAAAUCCAGCUGUCAACACUGAAUAUAGCAUUGUUGCAUUUAUUUUCACAGUUUAUGAACUCACAUUCAUAUUUUGUUGAAGUAUUAUUCAAUAAAUAUAUUAAGGAUAUUUAAUUGUUGCUAUUUUUAGAAUAUUUUUGAAAAAUCUCACGUACCCCUUGGCAUACCUUUAAGUACCCCCAGGGGUACGCGUACCCCCAUUUGAGAACCACUACUUAUUUGUGGGAUUCAGUUUGACAAAAAAAAAAAGUUGGUCAAAAGUCUGUCCUGGUUUUGUACGUUGUCCUAGUUCCGGAUCUUACUGCUUAACAAAACGAUGUGGCUCAGAUGGUAUUGUUUUAAUUGGUUUUACCCUUUAAAAUAGUUUUUAAUCAUAUUUAUUUCUAUAUUAUUUUCAUAUUGGUUUUAUUUUUUAUUCAGUCAUUGCUGGAGCUAAGGGUAUUUGAAUAUUGUUUUUAAUAUUGUUGUGCAGCACUUGGGAAACAUUUAUGUUGUUUAAAUUUGCUAUACAAAUAAAGUGGAUUGGAUUGGUAGAGCAGAUGUGCCAGCAACCUUAGGGUUCCAGAUUGGAUUCCAGCUUCCGCCAUCCUCGUCACGGGCGUCGUGUCCUUGGGCAAAACUCUUUACCAACUUUUCUCUCAGUGACGCUUACACUGGUGUAUGAAUGUUAAUUAAUGAAUGUUUGGCAGCCAUGCUUCCGUCAGUCUACCCCAGGGCAGCUGUGGCUACAAAUGUAUCUGACGAACAUCUAUUGGCGGACGUGGAGUGAAUGAACGAUGAGUUCUCAUUUCUCUCUGUUAAGCGCUUUGAGUGUCUAGAAACCCAUCAUAUAAAUCGAAUAAUCAAUGUAUAAAUAAUCCCUUGCGUUGGUGUCUGUUUUUUUUUAAUUAUUAUUAAGUAUGACUGCAAAAUGACCUGCUUAGUGACCUAGUGGUUAUAGAGUGUCCGUCCUGAGAUCGGUAGGUUGUGAGUUCAAACCAAAGUCAUACCAAAGACUAUAAAAAUGGGACUCAUUACUUCCCUGCUUGGCACUCAGCAUCAAAAGUUGGAAUUUGGGGGUUUCGAUCACCAAAAAUGAUUCCCGGGCACGGCCCUCGCUGCUGCCCACCGCUCCCCUCACCUCCCAGGGGGUGAUCAAGGGUGAUGGGUCGAAUGCAGAGAAUAAUUUCGCCACACCUAGUGUGUGUGUGUGUGUGUGUGUGUGUGUGUGUGUGUGUGUUUGUGUGUGUUUGUGUGUGUGUGUGUGUGACAAUCAUUGGUACUUUAACUUUGACUUUAAAAUAAACCACCAUGGGAGGGCUCAAGAAAUGCCACUACUACAAGAGAAACCUUGCAGCAAACUAUGAAGGUGGGCUCCAUGUGCCUUUUUCCUCCUCUUUACGCUCUCUACUCAGCACUGUCAUUAUAAAAAAUAUAAUUAAAUAUUCACUGUCUACAGGUACUUUAAAGGUGAUUCUAAAUGCUGUUAAUCAUUUUAGUUGUCAUUUAUAUGUAUUUUAUAUCUUUUUCUGCGUGUUAAAGCUAUAGUUAUCAGUACUUUGCGGUUUAUUUGUCUAUUUUCAGAGCUAUGUAUUCCGAAUGUGGCACAAUAAAGAUGGAAUUUAAUUUUGGUGUGCAUGCAAUCACAAUAAAAGCUAUUCCACUGAAUUAUAUUCUGUUUUACUCUAACUCAGAUCAAUGUAUUUUUGUUUGCAUCAGGUGUGUGUAAAACAACUCCAUUAAACUGACUCUGAACAACAA